rnacentral:lncRNA from 1 species
CGCUAAAUCAUCAGAUCAACUGUUUCCCCAAGUGAAUCGCGUCAAACUCUGCAGGGUCAUGUGCAAAACUUCGUCGACCUGUUGAUCCAUUAUUCAUACAACACGAUUACUCAUUCAUUGUACGGAUUCGCGUUACUGGGUUUUCUGAUUUCCAUUUCCAUUACGCGCCAUUUGGAUUUAUUUAUUUAUUAUUAUUAUUUUUUUGAAUUUGUCAUUCAACGAAUUGGGGGUGUUGGGUUGUAGAUUUUUUUAUGGGUUUGAUGGUUAUUUGAUUCAAAUUAGGUUUCAUUAUUGAGCUUCUUGAUUUGUUAGUAUUGGUUUUGUUGUGUUUGAGAUCUAGUUCCCGUUGUGAGGUUAGGGCGGUUGGGUUAUGAGAUAUCGACAUGUCUGAGAAUCAUGAUCCAGAACAGGCGCUGCAGAGUUUAGGAAAUGGAGCUGAAUGGGUGGAAGGUGUGGUCAAUAUUAAUGUUGGGGAGUCAUCUUCUCAGAAUGACUCCGUUUUGCAGUCCUCUGAAGUUUCCACUGGAUUUUCUUCUUCUGAAUCCAACCGGGUUAGUGUUGUUAUAGUAUUUAUUGACAUGCAGAAGCUGUAUAAUGUUCUUAAUAUGAAUUUUCCUUGUUAAUUAGAGAAGAAAAAAGUGUAGUUAAAUGCUUUGGAAAUAAGAUUAUUUUUAACAUGGGGUUUAGGAAUCAACGUUGUCGCCAGUGGGUACUCUUACCGAAGGUGCAAAGAACUCUGGAAAAGAUGGUCCAGAUGGUACUGUUGUAGUCGAAGAUGCUGGAAAAGAAGAUAUGUUUGUGGACUGCCCGGACGAGUUAGUUGGCAAUGUUGAUAGCAGAGAAGUAGCAGCAGCUGCUGAAAUUCAAGGUAGUUUGAUGGAGGAAACGCCUUCUGAUAUGCAACAGGAAUUACAGUAUGAGGUGGAAAAGGUUUCUCCGAUGCACGAGGUAGAAAACACGAGGGCCACUCUGAAUAAGACUAUUUUUGAGAGAGAAAAUGUCAUACACGACUUUGAGGUUCAUAACCACCCCCUCCCAGUUGUGGUUGUAUGCUUUUGGGAUGAUAUUAAAUUGCAUUUUUUUUGGUUGUUGAUUUGCAGGAAGAAAGAGAGACUUUUGUGCAAGAAUUUCUUAUCAUUUGUCGCCAACUCAAGGCUGCUACUAAUCAACCGUUGAUGCUCGAUUUUAGCGGCAGUCAUGGAAUCAAGCACGUGGAAGAAAACAAUCUGGGUACUAAUACCACAUUGAAAGACCUUGUCAAUGAAUGCUCACAAUUGGUUAAUAGAACUUUAGAUCAACGGUUGCAGUAUGAAGCUACUAUAGGAGAACUCCGUAAUAACCUUUUAGUGAAGGAUCAAGAGAUUGAAUAUCUUAAUGCAAAGGUUAUUGAAAUUUCAGUGUCUGAUCAAGUUGUUCGCUCUUAUGCAAAUUCAAUUGAAGAUUCUAUGAAAGUUUCAUCAGAAAAGGAGAGGGAUAUGGAAGCCACAUUAGAUAGAGUGUUAACUUCUCUCAACUCACUACUGAAUCAGGAACAUCUUCUUGAUGAUUCUAUAUCAGAAAAAACACUUAAUGUUGAAAGAAGCACUUCUCUGUUAAUUGAUAAUUAUAACAGAAUCCUUCUGGAUAUCAAUCAACUCCAAAAAUGUUUAUCUGGGACAGAGUCAGACAUCAUCGUUACAGACGUUGGAACAAUUUUGGCCUCUGCUCAGGAUGAUUUAAUUCGACUCAAAGCUAAAGAGGUAAGCAAUGUUGAAAAAAUUUAUCACCUGGAGGAUGAAAAUAGAAGAUUGGCAGAGGAGCUAGACAAUUGCAGGUUGAGAGCUGAAACUGUUAAUGGAGAACUUGGAAAGGCAAAGAGUGAGCUGGAGCAGGAAAGGAUGAGGUGUGCUAAUACCAAAGAAAAGUUAACAAUGGCUGUGACAAAAGGGAAGGCAUUAGUACAGAAACGUAAUUCAUUAGAGCAGUCUUUAGCUGAAAAGGUUAGAGAACUCGAAAAAGUUUCUGUCGAAUUACAAGAGAAAUCAAUUGCUUUGGAGGCUGCCGAACUAAUUAAGGUUGACUUGGCUAAAAAUGAUACUUUAGUUGCAUCACUUCGGGAAAAUUUGUUGCAAAGGAACACGAUCCUUGAAAGUUUUGAGGAUAUUAUAUCUCAACUUGAUGUUCCUCAGGAACUUAAAUCAGUGGACAGUAUGGAAAGACUCAAGUGGCUUGUGGGCGAGAAAAAGGUUCUAGAGGCUAUUUUAUUGGAGUUUUACAAAUUAAAAGAUGCUGUAAACUUAUCUGAUUGGCCAGAUUUGAUUGCACCUUAUGACCUGAAAUCUUCUGUUAGUUGGCUUAAGGAAGCAUUUUUUCAAGCUAAAGAUGAAAUAACGAUCUUGCAAGAUGAACUUGCUAAAACAAAAGAAGCAGCACAGGCAGAGAUUGACCGGAUAAGUGCAUUAGUUUUAAUCAGAUUACAGGAAAAGGACUAUCUCCAGGAGCAGUUGGAUGACUUGUCAAACAAAUACGAAGAAGCCAGGAUAAAAGAGCAUGAGAAUUCGUUGGAGAAGGCUCAAAUCAUAAAAAUGUUACAAGAAGAAUCUGGAGUGACAACAGAUAAUGGAGGGAUUAGUGAAACUUUGUUGGAUCUGAACUUGCUUGUUUACAAAUACAUUCAAAGGUUAAAAGAGCAGGCUUGUGCUUCUGCUGAAAUUUCUGGUGAAUAUGUGGAAUCUUUUGAAAAGGUUCAUACUCUUUUGUAUAUCAGUCAUCAAGAUUUGAUGCUCUAUGAUAUAAUACUGGGAGAGGAGUCUUCUAAUUUGAGUAAUUGCCAGACUAGGUUAAGAUUAAUAUCUGAAGAACAUAGAGAACUGAAGGAGGAAAAUGACUCUUUGCAGAAGGAUCUUCAGAGAUCAGAGGAGAAAUAUGCUAUGCUAAGGGAAAAGUUGUCCUUGGCAGUCAAGAAAGGCAAAGGACUGGUCCAGGACAGGGAAAAUAUGAAAAGUCUCUUGGAUGAUAAGAACUUAGAAAUAGAGAAGUUGAAACUACAAUUAAAUAGUCUAGAAUCUACAGUUGCUGAUUUCAGAAGUCAAAUCAAUUUGUUGUCUAUUGAUACACAACGCAUUCCGGAGUUGGAGUCUGAACUUGGUAUCUUAAAUGACAAAUGCAAUCAAUAUGAACAGUUCUUGUUGGAGAGCAAUAAUAUGUUACAGAAAGUAAUUGAAUCUAUCGAUGGAAUUGUUCUUCCUAUUAAUAUUGUUUUUGAAGAGCCUGUAGCUAAGCUGAAGUGGAUUUCAGAAUACAUUAGGGAAUCUCAUGAUGCUAAGACACGUACUGAACAAGAAUUGGAGAAUGUUAAAGAGGAAUCAAAUGCUAUGGAAAGUAAAUUAGGAGAUACUUUAGCUGCUAUGAAAUCAUUGGAAGAUGCAUUAUCAUCCGCGGAGAACAAUGUUUUUCAACUUUCCAAGGAUAAAGGGGAAAUAGAAUCUAGUAAGACACAAAUUGAACAGGAAUUACAGAAAGCAUUGGAUGAAGCCUAUUCUCAGUCCAGCAUGAUCUCUGCGGAAGCUUCUUCAUCUAUGAGUCUUCUUCAAGAGUCGCUAUCACUGGCAGAAAAUAAAAUAUCUGUGCUUGUCAAAGAGAAAGAAGAAGCUGAAGUCUGUAAGGUCACUGCAGAGACAGAGUCUAAGAAAGUCAAGGAGCAAGUAGCUGUUCAGACAGAUAGACUUGCAGAGGCCCAGGGAACUAUAAACAGAUUAGAAAAGACAUUGACUGAGCUUGAAACCAAUGUUGCUUUGCUGACGGAACAGAAUGCUGAAGCACAAAGUGCUAUAGAGAAGCUAGAGCAUGAGCGAAAGGUAUUGCAAGAGGAAGUAAGCUCUCAAGCUAGCAAAGUUGUUGAGGCAGUGGAAACAAGAAAAUCCUUGGAAGAUUCAUUACUUAAGGCAGAAAAUAAAAUUUCUAUAAUUGAAGGAGAGAGGAAAAUUUCUGAAAACGAGAUAUUUGCUCUAAAUUCCAAAUUAACUGCAUGCAUGGAAGAGUUGGCUGGGUCAAAUGGUAGCUUAGAAAGCAGAUCUGUAGAGUUUGCAGGCUACCUCAAUGAUCUUCAUAAGUUUAUUGCAGACGAGACAUUGUUGACUGUGGUGACUGGAUGCUUUGAGAAGAAGCUUGAGAGUCUAAGAGAGAUGGAUAUCAUUCUGAAGAACACCAGGAAUUGUCUUAUUAAUAGCGGCAUAAUAGACUCUCAUAAUCACCAUGCUGUCAUGGUAAUUUUCUGCUUUUCUGGAUAUCAAGAUUGGUAAAUCGUAUCUUCUAUCACUUUCAACAAGUGCAUACAAAGUUUUUUCUGUGUGGUCUCUGUCUUUAACGUUUGUAUGUUUUGGUAGUUCAUUUAUUUGGUUUUGGUUCGGGCUGAGUUCUCUGUGGCCUGUUUUUCUUUAGUAUUCUUAUUCUUCUUUACAAAUGCAGUUUUCUCAUCGUAAAAAAAAUCUUAUUAUUAUUAUUUUAUUUGGAUUUUGCAUUUUCUUUGUGGAUGCUAUUUUGAAUCUAUUAACAGUGGCUCACAAAUUCUAGUAUUUUCUUCUCUCCCUGGGGGACACUAACGUGACUGCUAUUGCAGUUUUAGAAGUAUCUAAUUAGUUGUCAAAUAUUCCAUAUGGUUUCUUUUUCUGAUUACAUUUUUUUAAUUUAAUCCAGGAUCUGAAUGGCAUGGAAAGCCUCUCUCAUGGAAAGCUCCUUGAUUUUGAUGUUGAAAGUGAAACUCGUAAGGCGGUUGUUGAAGAUGAUGUUGGUAAUAUUUCAUCAUCUUUCAGAAAGAUUCUGGAAGAAAUAUGGUUAAAGAACAAAAAAUUUACAGAUUAUUUUGAAGGUUUCUCCUCUUCAAUGGACGGGUUUGUUGCUGAUCUGUUAAAAAAUGUGCAAGCAACAAGGGAGGAAAUAGUUUUUGUGUGUGGACAUGUGGAGUCCUUGAAAGAGAUGGUGAAGAAUCUCGAAAUGCAUAAACAAGAACAAGAAAUUACCAGAGUGAUGUUGGAAAACGAUGUUUCACUUCUAAUAUCGGUUUGUGUUGACACAACUAAAGAACUUCAGUUUGAAAUGACCAACCAUCUACUUCUACUCAGCCCCGUUCCCGAUUUUGACAACUUGAAGGAUGCCAAACUCAUGGAAAGUAGUGAGACUAGUGGAGCUUCAGCUGUAGAGUCUCAAGUGAAAUCAUGUAGUAGCAAAUCAGCUGCCGCUGCAGAACAAUUAUUAACUGCUAUUAGAAAAGUUCGAUCUAUGUUUGAGCAGUUUGAGAGCACUAGCAAGGUUGCAGCUAGUAGAAUUCAAGAUAUGCAGCAUAGAUUGGAAAUAUCUGAGGCAACAACUGAAAAAGUUAAAGCGGAAAAGGACUUGAACCAAAAUUUGGUGGGUAAGUUGGAAACUGAUUUACAACUAUUACAGAGUACCUGUGAUGAAUUUAAGCGACAACUGGAGGCUUGUCAAGCAACCGAAGAAAAGUUAAAAGAAAGGGAAGCUGAAUUUUCAUCAUUGUAUAAUAGUAUGCUGGUGAAAGAACAAGGUAAACCAAUCUUCU